AUUACAUAAUGAUUAUUAACUCAUAUAUCCUUGAUAAUAGGAUCAAGGGUUUCUACGAAGCGACCGUAAUUGCUUCUCUAUGAGCCAGGAUGGUUUAUAG
rnacentral:ncRNA from 2 species